CCAUAUAUGAUUCAUAUAGAUUAUAAAGUCAUUUCAAGUCUGAAAAAGUAGUGACUCCUGCCAAGUUUUGACACAAAGAUGAAGUCUCUUGCUGUACUUUUCUUUCUUGUUCUGGCAGUUGCACUUGUCUCCUCACACCCUCAAUGGCCACAAAAGGGAUUUGGAUGCAAAUCAGACAACGAAUGUGGGCAGAACGAAUGCUGUAUUAUUGGCAUAUUGCACGGUUUCUGUUUUCCAAAACUCAAUGAAGGAUCACUAUGUGGUUUUAUACGACAUCGAUGUGGAUGUGCAGAUGGCUUGGUAUGCAAGAAAGGCAAAUUUUUAUUUGACGAAUGCACCAGGGAAAAUGGCAACGGAAAUAACAAUGACAUUAUUCAUUAACUGCAAAUUUGAAUAUGUAAAAUUUCAAACAAAAUGUACUGAAUAUAUUUUUCUGCCAAUUCUGUAAGAAAGCAAA